GAUGAACGCUGGCGGCGUGCCUAAUACAUGCAAGUCGAGCGAACAGAUGAGGAGCUUGCUCCUCUGACGUUAGCGGCGGACGGGUGAGUAACACGUGGAUAACCUACCUAUAAGACUGGGAUAACUUCGGGAAACCGGAGCUAAUACCGGAUAAUAUAUUGAACCGCAUGGUUCAAUAGUGAAAGACGGUUUUGCUGUCACUUAUAGAUGGAUCCGCGCCGCAUUAGCUAGUUGGUAAGGUAACGGCUUACCAAGGCAACGAUGCGUAGCCGACCUGAGAGGGUGAUCGGCCACACUGGAACUGAGACACGGUCCAGACUCCUACGGGAGGCAGCAGUAGGGAAUCUUCCGCAAUGGGCGAAAGCCUGACGGAGCAACGCCGCGUGAGUGAUGAAGGUCUUCGGAUCGUAAAACUCUGUUAUUAGGGAAGAACAUAUGUGUAAGUAACUAUGCACAUCUUGACGGUACCUAAUCAGAAAGCCACGGCUAACUACGUG
rnacentral:rRNA from 1 species